CCAACGUUCAGUGUGGUGAUACCCAAGGAGAAGAGAGGGUGUAUCGCUGUUUUUGCUCUGGAUUUCUGCACUAGUUUGUCAAACCCUGUGAUGAUAAGGUGUGCUGUGACCAAGGAGUGAGAUGAUCUGACGAGUGAACAAGCCAUCGCCAAUAAGUGUCUCCAUAACACACGACGUGCUGACACGGGAGCUGCUGUGAUCAGGAGCUAUCAGGACCACGCACGACCAUUACAUCCGAAGUGAGGCGGCGAGCGGCCCGGCUGGUCAGCUGGUCUGCAGAGACAAAGGUGAUGGACUUUGAACUACACGAGUCUCGCUACGGACCUGCCCAGAAUCAAGAAGUUUGGAGGCCGAGACAGAAACAGAAGCAGAAGGACGGAAGGCAGUCAGUUGGCUUCCUGAUGAACCUGGCACGUGAGAUCCAAUCCAUUAAGAAGCGAUUUAUCCAGGAAGCUGCAUCAUCCCUGAAGACCUUGAGCCGGACACUGAUUGGAAUGAAAUAGUGAGGACGCCACUCGACCGUCCCCACGCAGGGACCAGCAGGCGGCCGUGGCGGAAGGAGGAGGGGUGAGAGAUCAGUUAACGACAACACAAAGAGAGUGGACUACCCAGCGAGGCGAAGAGAGAAACACAGCCAUCCCUAUUACACUACUGACACCAAUAGCAGCAGUGAAUCCUUUGCCAGAGCUUGUGAUAUGGUGGUCUUGGAAUAUUGAGCCACUAAGGUACAGCUGCUGCAAUCUGCUUGGACCCGGAGACCAUGGAAAGGAACUGCAAGCAACAGAUGUGCGCAGAGCAGACGUCAGGGUGAUGCUUGCUGGCCGUUUUAGUGUGAAUGUGUCAUCCUGACUCGGCUACUUCAAUUUCCUUCACUGAGGGAGACAAGUUAUCUGCUGCUGAACGUUAUAAUCUUACACUACACCAACAACCAACCAAAUGACCUGUGGCAGGCAACGUCGGCCAGUGGGGUGUUCGGUACGACAACAUGGGACGGACGUAAACAUCGCAGCCGGACAGGUGAAGAAGGCUAAACGCAUAACUUUGUGUACAUUAUCGUAUCAUUGCUAUGUGCAAGAAGAAAAGGGACAGGAGAGACAAGAAACAUUGGUUGGAACUGUUCUAUUUAUUUUCCAACCACCUAGUGGUUGGAAAAAUCUUGUUUCUCUUGUCCCACUUAUCC